CGCAUAAUGCAGCGGCACCUAAUGGUGACAGUUGUUAAAGCGGGGGAUCGAAAGACCUCGCGUCUAAAGAGGAGCCUGCGGCGGAUUAGCUAGUUGGUAAGGUAACGGCUUACCAAGGCGACGAUCCGUAGCCGGCCUGAGAGGGCGGUCGGCCACACUGACACUGACAUACGGGUCAGACUCCUACGGGAGGCAGCAGUCGGGAAUUUUGGGCAAUGGGCGAAAGCCUGACCCAGCAACGCCGCGUGAAGGAUGAAAUCCUUCGGGAUGUAAACUUCGCAAGAACGGGAAGAAUAAGUAGGGGACAAUACCCCCUAUGAUGACGGUACCGUUUGUAAGCUCCGGCUAACUCCGUGCCAGCAGCCGCGGUAAUACGGGGGGAGCAAGCGUUG
rnacentral:rRNA from 1 species